rnacentral:rRNA from 1 species
CCUACGGGUGGCUGCAGUGGGGAAUAUUGGACAAUGGGGGGAACCCUGAUCCAGCCAUGCCGCGUGUGUGAAGAAGGCCCUCGGGUUGUAAAGCACUUUCAGUGAGGAAGAACGCCUGGUGGUUAAUACCCAUCAGGAAAGACAUCACUCACAGAAGAAGCACCGGCUAACUCCGUGCCAGCAGCCGCGGUAAUACGGAGGGUGCGAGCGUUAAUCGGAAUUACUGGGCGUAAAGCGCGCGUAGGUGGCUUGAUAAGCCGGUUGUGAAAGCCCCGGGCUCAACCUGGGAACGGCAUCCGGAACUGUCAAGCUAGAGUGCAGGAGAGGAAGGUAGAAUUCCCGGUGUAGCGGUGAAAUGCGUAGAGAUCGGGAGGAAUACCAGUGGCGAAGGCGGCCUUCUGGACUGACACUGACACUGAGGUGCGAAAGCGUGGGUAGCAAACAGGAUUAGAUACCCCUGUAGUC